UGGCCGGCCUCAUGAAGAGUGAGGCUGGUGAAGCGCCGUGCAUCACUUCAGCUGGGUUUCAGUUUCUGCUCCUGGACACCGCCUCUCAGCUGUGGUACUUCACCCUGCAGUACCUCAGAACAGUGCAGUCUAGAGGGAUGGAUCUCGUGGAGAUUCUUUCCUUCCUGUUCCAGCUGAGUUUCUCCACUCUUGGCAGGGUCA